rnacentral:misc_RNA from 1 species
CUUUUCUUUUCUUUUCUUUUCCUUCUAUCAAAGUAGGGAAAAAUGGAUUGUUUCAUUUUGUUUUUAAUAGAAUAGCACAACUUAUUUGCACAGAAAGUUGGUUGCAGCACUAUGAGUUUAACUUGUUAGGUUUUAGUUGCAUAAUAUGUUAUAGAAAAUGUGAUUUUUCAGUAUUCAAAAUUUGAAAGGUCAAUGAUAUUAUAUAUAUCUCAUUCUUGUGAGAGGUUGUUGAAAUUUUUGUGUCCUAAGUUUAAGAAGCACGACAAUAAAAAAGCAACUUUAAUUCUUAUAAAAUUUUACAGACCACUUCUGGUAAUUUUUCAAACUGGAAGGCUGAUUUGUCUAGUUUAAGGAUUCUUUAGGGGUGUUCAGGGUAUAAUUUUCACAUAACUUUAAGGCUUAAGCUAUUACUGGUGCUUUUAUAUUCAGAAUAGGCUGUUGUUAUCAAUUGUGAGAUUUAAUUUUUUAAACCUGAAGCUAUAAUGGGCAUUAAUUUUUAAUGAGGUUCCUCAGACUUGU